UGGACGAUCGCCUUGUGCCUCAUUUC
rnacentral:piRNA from 1 species